GAUGGAGCAACACCGCGUGAGUGAAGAAGGGUUUCGGCUCGUAAAGCUCUGUUGUUAAAGAAGAACACGUAUGAGAGUAACUGUUCAUACGUUGACGGUAUUUAACCAGAAAGUCACGGCUAACUACGUGCCAGCAGCCGCGGUAAUACGUAGGUGGCAAGCGUUAUCCGGAUUUAUUGGGCGUAAAGAGAGUGCAGGCGGUUUUCUAAGUCUGAUGUGAAAGCCUUCGGCUUAACCGGAGAAGUGCAUCGGAAACUGGAUAACUUGAGUGCAGAAGAGGGUAGUGGAACUCCAUGUGUAGCGGUGGAAUGCGUAGAUAUAUGGAAGAACACCAGUGGCGAAGGCGGCUACCUGGUCUGCAACUGACGCUGAGACUCGAAAGCAUGGGUAGCGAACAGGAUUAGAUACCCUGGUAGUCCAUGCCGUAAACGAUGAGUGCUAGGUGUUGGAGGGUUUCCGCCCUUCAGUGCCGGAGCUAACGCAUUAAGCACUCCGCCUGGGGAGUACGACCGCAAGGUUGAAACUCAAAGGAAUUGACGGGGGCCCGCACAAGCGGUGGAGCAUGUGGUGUAAUUCGAAGCUACGCGAAGAGCCUUACCAGGUCUUGACAUCUUGCGCCAACCCUAGAGAUAGGGCGUUUCCUUCGG
rnacentral:rRNA from 2 species